AAAGGGUGCGUAGGCGGGUCUGUAAGUCUGGUUUGAAAGCUGGUGGCUUAACCAUCAGAUGUGGCUGGAUACUGUGGAUCUUGAAAUUGUUGGAGGCAGCCGGAACGGGUCGUGUAGCGGUGAAAUGCAUAGAGAUGACCCAGAACACCAAUUGCGUAGGCAGGCUGCUACGACUGAUUUGACGCUGAGGCACGAGAGCAUGGGGAGCAAACAGGAUUAGAUACCCGAGU
rnacentral:rRNA from 1 species